GGGAACAUCCUCUCCUUCCCGAUCCAGUAGCUCGAAGCCUGGUGGGCCCUGAUAAACUACCGAAAGAACUAAUGUAUACAGGCGGGGAAGACGAGACACUCUCUUCCUGGAGAACCUCAUUCAGAUCACUCCAGGGAACUGAAAACUUGUCAACACCCAUGUUCAUCCGAGAACUGGCUGGAACCUCCAGACUUGUAGAAGACUAUUCGCUCAGAGUAUUCGUAGACUAGCCCACAACUUG